GUUCCCCGCCUUAAAAGAGACCGCGUGGAAGCGUCUCGCCCUUUUCCGCAGUUUUCCUGGCUGUCGCGGUUGACGUUGGAAGGAGGCUUUCUUCCGCUGCCAUGUGGGAACUGACUUCAAAAAACAGUGGAAAGGACCAGUGUGUAGAGUUGCGGGAGGAACAUGCAAAGGGAGCCAGAAGCUGCCCUCCAAGAUGAGUGAUCGUGAUUGAAAUGCCAACUCUUACCUGGAAAGAUGUCUCUCUAAUCUUCAAAGAUGGAAGUCCAUCCAGAUUUCCUUGAAGAGGCUUGUACACUAUUUGUACUGCUAUGAACGUGGUUAAAAUUAGACACCAGAUUUGCAUUAUUUAAGUUGAGAAGUGAAAGAUUUUAGAAGAAUACACUUCUAAGAUGAUGCAUGGAGGUAGGCUUGGACAAACAUUACUACAAUUCAGUGCACUCAAGACUACAGAACGUGUCCAUUUUUUCCUUGAGACCCUAUGAAGACCUACAUAUUGGGGCAAAAAGUAUUUUCUGAAUUAUUGUGGUAGUAAACUUACAAACUAACUCUUCUUCCCUUUGUUGUGCACAAUGAAUGGGUCCAGUUUCAGAGCCCUGCAGUUGGCAGGGCUUAAAAAUUCAUCUUGCACCUCUUACAACAGCAAUCUCAAAGGUAUCCAGGCCCUGGGCCAUCUAGGACUUCAGAGGUAACAUUAUUUUGAAUGCAUCCAUAGGCCAACUGAUGGUUGGUGCAGCUCCUAAAACAGUAUUAAGGAGUCUUAAAUACACUCCAAACCUAUGAAAUACUGGCCUUGCCAAAGGUUCUGUGUGGCUAUAUGGAAAAUGAGUGGUACUACUGAUAUGUUCCAUCUGUUAACAGUUUCUGUUACUUUUCUGCAGGCUUUAAGUUUUUUUUUACUUAAUCCUGUGGGUAAUCUGUCCUUUAAAAUGCCUGUUGAAGUUAUAUGAAAAAAUAACACCAUUUAAAUUGUGAAAUAAGACUACACUGCAGCUAAGCCUUAAAAAAAAUGAGCUAAAGAAAUUGCAAAUUUACAGUUUCAUGACACCAGUAUUGUUCUGCUUCUGUCAAUUUUUUAACCUAAUGGAAAUCCAUGCAGAUUAUGGCAUCUCUUCUGCCAUUGUUUAUCAAUGUUACUGUGACUUGAGUUGGAGGUUCUCUGAAAUAUUUUGUUUCCUAAAUAUUCCUUUUAUGAUUGUUUAUACCCAGAGAUAGAUAGGGAGGCAUGAGGAAACUUGGAUAUUGCCACCUGGCACAAGUGGGUUUUUAUUAAGACACGCACAAAAUGUUAAUUUUGUAUAAGCAAAUGCACUUAAGCAAUUGCCUGUCUUGAGAGUGUAAUUAUGCUUCAUAAACAGAUGCACUGAA